UACGGAGGGGGCUAGCGUUGUUCGGAAUUACUGGGCGUAAAGCGCACGUAGGCGGCUUUGCAAGUUAGAGGUGUAAGCCCGGGGCUCAACUCCGGAAUUGCCUUUAAAACUGCAUCGCUAGAAUUGUGGAGAGGUAAGUGGAAUUCCGAGUGUAGAGGUGAAAUUCGUAGAUAUUCGGAAGAACACCAGUGGCGAAGGCGACUUACUGGACACAUAUUGACGCUGAUGUACGAAAGCGUGGGGAGCAAACAGG
rnacentral:rRNA from 1 species